rnacentral:rRNA from 1 species
CCUACGGGGGGCAGCAGUGAGGAAUAUUGGUCAAUGGACGAGAGUCUGAACCAGCCAAGUAGCGUGAAGGAUGACUGCCCUAUGGGUUGUAAACUUCUUUUAUAAAGGAAUAAAACGAGGCACGUGUGCCUUUUUGCAUGUACUUUAUGAAUAAGGAUCGGCUAACUCCGUGCCAGCAGCCGCGGUAAUACGGAGGAUCCGAGCGUUAUCCGGAUUUAUUUGGUUUAAAGGGAGCGUAGAUGGGUUGUUAAGUCAGUUGUGAAAGUUUUCGGCUCAACCGUAAAAUUGCAAUUGAUACUGGCAGUCUUGAGUACAGUUGAGGUAGGCGGAAUUCGUGGUGUAGCGGUGAAAUGCUUAGAUAUCACGAAGAACCCCGAUUGCGAAGGCAGCUUACUAAACUGUGACUGACAUUGAUGCUCGAAAGUGUGGGUAUCAAACAGGAUUAGAUACCCUGGUAGUC